rnacentral:rRNA from 1 species
UGCGCCUUGCCAGCCCGCUCAGAAACUUAAAGGAAUUGACGGGGGCCCGCACAAGCGGCGGAGCAUGUGGAUUAAUUCGAUGCAACGCGAAGAACCUUACCGUGGGUUUGACAUACCACCGGAAAACCGUAGAGAUACGGUUCCCCUUGUGGUCGGUGUACAGGUGGUGCAUGGCUGUCGUCAGCUCGUGUCGUGAGAUGUUGGGUUAAGUCCCGCAACGAGCGCAACCCUUGUCUUAUGUUGCCAGCACGUGAUGGUGGGGACUCGUAAGAGACUGCCGGGGUCAACUCGGAGGAAGGUGGGGACGACGUCAAGUCAUCAUGCCCCUUAUGUCCAGGGCGACACACGUGCUACAAUGGCCGGCACAGCGGGAAGCGGAGGGGCGACCCUGAGCGGAUCCCUUGAAAGCCGGUCCCAGUUCGGAUUGCAGUCUGCAACUCGACUGCAUGAAGUUGGAAUCGCUAGUAAUCGCGGAUCAGCCAAGCCGCGGUGAAUACGUUCCCGGGCCUU